AGAGUUUGAUCCUGGCUCAGGACGAACGCUGGCGGCGUGCCUAACACAUGCAAGUCGAACGGGGUGAGGCCCUUCGGGACCUUUACCUAGUGGCGAACGGGUGAGUAACGCGUGAGGAACCUGCCUUUCAGUGGGGGACAACAGUUGGAAACGACUGCUAAUACCGCAUGAAGCUUUUGGGAGACAUCUCCUGGAAGCCAAAGCUUAAUGUGCUGAAAGAUGGCCUCGCGUCUGAUUAGCUAGUUGGUGGGGUAACGGCCCACCAAGGCGACGAUCAGUAGCCGGUCUGAGAGGAUGAACGGCCACAUUGGGACUGAGAUACGGCCCAGACUCCUACGGGAGGCAGCAGUGGGGAAUAUUGGGCAAUGGGCGAAAGCCUGACCCAGCAACGCCGCGUGAAGGAAGAAGGCCUUCGGGUUGUAAACUUCUUUUACCAGGGACGAAGGACGUGACGGUACCUGGAGAAAAAGCAACGGCUAACUACGUGCCAGCAGCCGCGGUAAUACGUAGGUUGCAAGCGUUGUCCGGAUUUACUGGGUGUAAAGGGCGUGUAGGCGGAGAUGCAAGUUAGGAGUGAAAUCUAUGGGCUCAACCCAUAAACUGCUUCUAAAACUGUAUCCCUUGAGUAUCGGAGAGGCAAGCGGAAUUCCUAGUGUAGCGGUGAAAUGCGUAGAUAUUAGGAGGAACACCAGUGGCGAAGGCGGCUUGCUGGACGACAACUGACGCUGAGGCGCGAAAGCGUGGGGAGCAAACAGGAUUAGAUACCCUGGUAGUCCACGCUGUAAACGAUGAAUACUAGGUGUGGGGGGACUGACCCCCUCCGUGCCGCAGUUAACACAAUAAGUAUUCCACCUGGGGAGUACGACCGCAAGGUUGAAACUCAAAGGAAUUGACGGGGGCCCGCACAAGCAGUGGAUUAUGUGGUUUAAUUCGACGCAACGCGAAGAACCUACCAGGACUUGACAUCCAACUAACGAAGUAGAGAUACAUCAGGUGCCCUUCGGGGAAAGUUGAGACAGGUGGUGCAUGGUUGUCGUCAGCUCGUGUCGUGAGAUGUUGGGUUAAGUCCCGCAACGAGCGCAACCCCUAUUGUUAGUUGCUACGAAAGAGCACUCUAGCGAGACUGCCGUUGACAAAACGGAGGAAGGCGGGGACGACGUCAAAUCAUCAUGCCCCUUAUGUCCUGGGCUACACACGUAAUACAAUGGUGGCCAACAGAGGGAAGCGAAGCCGUGAGGCAGAGCAAAUCCCUAAAAGCCAUCUCAGUUCGGAUUGCAGGCUGCAGCUCGCCUGCAUGAAGCUGGAAUUGCUAGUAAUCGCGGAUCAGCAUGCCGCGGUGAAUACGUUCCCGGGCCUUGUACACACCGCCCGUCACACCAUGAGAGUCGGGAACACCCGAAGUCCGUAGUCUAACCGCAAGGGGGGCGCGGCCGAAGGUGGGUCCGGUAAUUGGGGUGAAGUCGUAACAAGGUA
rnacentral:rRNA from 1 species